rnacentral:pre_miRNA from 1 species
AAUAAAUCAAUUUUUCAUUUUUUACCUAUAAUCUUUGGCUCUUCGUCUUAUUCAAUUUUUUUUCUGAUUGAUAUUUUUGUUUUUAUUAGAUGAUAAAUCAUGAAUAGUAUUUUACGUGUGACUAUUUUUUCUCUAAUUUUCUAAAAAUUUUUCAAAUAAGACGGAUGGUUAAACACUGGGCACAGAAACUGAAG